AGCUUUGUGCAGUGGCAGUAUUGUAGCUAAUGAGGUUUAUCCGAGGCACAACUAUUGCUAAUUGAGUUAAGUAAACUUAAAGAUUGAAUGUUUUCCCAUUUGUGUCACUGGUCUAACAAUAAUGUAAAGCCUAGUAUUAAUGGUUUUUAGCAAAA
rnacentral:snRNA from 1 species